GACGAACGCUGGCGGCGUGCUUAACACAUGCAAGUCGAACGGAAAGGCCCUGCUUUUGUGGGGUGCUCGAGUGGCGAACGGGUGAGUAACACGUGAGUAACCUGCCCUUGACUUUGGGAUAACUUCAGGAAACUGGGGCUAAUACCGGAUAGGAUCUCCUGCUGCAUGGUGGGGGUUGGAAAGUUUCGGCGGUUGGGGAUGGACUCGCGGCUUAUCAGCUUGUUGGUGGGGUAGUGGCUUACCAAGGCUUUGACGGGUAGCCGGCCUGAGAGGGUGACCGGCCACAUUGGGACUGAGAUACGGCACAGACUCCUCCGGGAGGCAGCAGUGGGGAAUAUUGCACAAUGGGCGGAAGCAUGAUGCAGCAACGCCGCGUGCGGGAUGACGGCCUUCGGGUUGUAAACCGCUUUCGCCUGUGACGAAGCGUGAGUGACGGUAAUGGGUAAAGAAGCACCGGCUAACUACGUG
rnacentral:rRNA from 1 species